AUUUAUAUAGUUUAAAAAAAAACACUUUAUUUUCAAUAAUGAAAUAGUAUACACUUAUAAGUU
rnacentral:tRNA from 1 species